GACGAACGCUGGCGGCGUGCUUAACACAUGCAAGUCGAACGAGGUCCAUGGAGUAGCAAUACUCCGGAAGACCUAGUGGCGAACGGGUGCGUAACACGUGAGGAACUUGUCCCGGUCUCUGGGAUAACAGUUGGAAACGACUGCUAAUACCGGAUAUGACUCCUGGCUUCAUGGUUGGGGGUGGAAAGCUUUUGCGGUGUGGGAUGGGCCCGCGGCCUGUCAGCUUGUUGGUGGGGUAAUGGCCUACCAAGGCGACGACGGGUAGCCGGCCUGAGAGGGUGACCGGUCACACUGGGACGUAGCUACGGCCCAGACUCCUACGGGAGGCAGCAGUGGGGAAUAUUGCACGAUGGGCGCAAGCCUGAUGCAGCGACGCCGCGUGAGGGAUGACGGCCUUCGGGUUGUAAACCUCUUUCAGCUAUGACGAAGCGCAAGUGACGGUAGUAGCAGAAGAAGGACCGGCCAACUACGUGCCAGCCGCCGCAGUAAUAC
rnacentral:rRNA from 1 species